rnacentral:rRNA from 1 species
AGAACGACUCUCGGCAACGGAUAUCUCGGCUCUCGCAUCGAUGAAGAACGUAGCGAAAUGCGAUACUUGGUGUGAAUUGCAGAAUCCCGUGAACCAUCGAGUCUUUGAACGCAAGUUGCGCCCGAUGCCAUUAGGCCGAGGGCACGCCUGCCUGGGCGUCUCGC